GGGGUGUGGCUUAGUGGUUAGCGCGUUAGCCUCGCAGUCUCAUGGUUGCGGGUUCGAUUCUCACCUCUAUCC